GACGAACGCUGGCGGCGUGCUUAACACAUGCAAGUCGAGCGGUAAGGCCCUUUCGGGGGGUACACGAGCGGCGAACGGGUGAGUAACACGUGGGUGACCUGCCCUCAGCUCUGGGAUAAGCCUGGGAAACCGGGUCUAAUACUGGAUAUGACUCCAUGACGCAUGUUGGUGGGGUGGAAAGCCUUGUGCGGCUGAGGAUGGGCCCGCGGCCUAUCAGCUUGUUGGUGGGGUGANGGCCUACCAAGGCGACGACGGGUAGCCGGCCUGAGAGGGCGACCGGCCACACUGGGACUGAGACACGGCCCAGACUCCUACGGGAGGCAGCAGUGGGGAAUCUUGCGCAAUGGGCGAAAGCCUGACGCAGCGACGCCGCGUGA
rnacentral:rRNA from 1 species